rnacentral:lncRNA from 10 species
UGAAAGUAUACACCCAGCCAUAGACCAUUUUUCUGUCACAACGAUUUCCACAUAAAAGUUUUCUCCCUGUCCGUUCGUGAAAAAAUUAACAUUCAGGAGGCUCUCUGGGAUGGAAUGCAUUUCAUGUGUCAGUCACUAGUGUUUGGUAAGAUAUCGUCAGUGCUGGCAAGGGGCAGAGAGAAGAGUGGGUCAAUGGCAUGAGGUUCACUGCUGGGCUGCCUUUACGUGGGACAGGGAAGCUGGAAUCAGUCCUGUGCUGAGCAUAAGAUGCUGCCUUACCUUGGUGGUGACAAGUCAUCUUACCUCUGAGACCACCCAUUGAAUUACUGUUCUGAAGUCAUCCCUCAACCACCUGGAGUAGACCAAAGGCAACAGAAACCAAGAGGAGAAAGUUUGAGCCUUGCCAUAUCAAUAUUGGGUACUGAACGAGGAAAAAACUCAAGAUAAUUACUAACAACCUGGGACUCCUGGGGAAAAACAGAGAUGGCACCACAGACCCCAUUCUGGGAAAAACUUCUUUUCCUCAUGGAACCCCAGGAAUUGAAAACAAUAAAU